rnacentral:rRNA from 1 species
GAUGAACGCUGGCGGCGUGCCUAAUACAUGCAAGUCGAGCGAACGGACGAGAAGCUUGCUUCUCUGAUGUUAGCGGCGGACGGGUGAGUAACACGUGGAUAACCUACCUAUAAGGCUGGGAUAACUUCGGGAAACCGGAGCUAAUACCGGAUGAUAUUUUGAACCGCAUGGUUCAAAAGUGAAAGACGGUCUUGCUGUCACUUAUAGAUGGAUCCGCGCUGCAUUAGCUAGUUGGUAAGGUAACGGCUUACCAAGGCAACGAUGCAUAGCCGACCUGAGAGGGUGAUCGGCCACACUGGAACUGAGACACGGUCCAGACGCCUACGGGAGGCAGCAGUAGGGAAUCUUCCACAAUGGGCGAAAGCCUGACGGAGCAACGCCGCGUGAGUGAUGAAGGUCUUCGGAUCGUAAAACUCUGUUAUUAGGGAAGAACAUAUGUGUAAGUAACUGUGCACAUCUUGACGGUACCUAAUCAGAAAGCCACGGCUAACUACGU